GACGAACGCUGGCGGCGUGCUUAACACAUGCAAGUCGAACGGAAAGGCCCUGCUUUUGUGGGGUGCUCGAGUGGCGAACGGGUGAGUAACACGUGAGUAACCUGCCCUUGACUUUGGGAUAACUUCAGGAAACUGGGGCUAAUACCGGAUAGGAGCUCCUGCUGCAUGGUGGGGGUUGGAAAGUUUCGGCGGUUGGGGAUGGACUCGCGGCUUAUCAGCUUGUUGGUGGGGUAGUGGCUUACCAAGGCUUUGACGGGUAGCCGGCCUGAGAGGGUGACCGGCCACAUUGGGACUGCGGUACGGCCCAGACUCCUACGGGAGGCAGCAGUGGGGAAUAUUGCACAAUGGGCGGAAGCCUGAUGCAGCAACGCCGCGUGCGGGAUGACGGCCUUCGGGGUGUAAACCGCUUUCGCCUGUGACGAAGCGUGAGUGACGGUAAUGGGUAAAGAAGCACCGGCUAACUACGUG
rnacentral:rRNA from 1 species